rnacentral:rRNA from 1 species
CAGUCGCCGCGGGAAUACGAAGGGUGCAAGCGUUAAUCGGAAUUACUGGGCGUAAAGCGUGCGUAGGCGGUGAGUUAAGUCUGCUGUGAAAUCCCCGAGCUUAACUUGGGAACUGCAUUUGAAACUGGCAAGCUAGAGUCUUGUAGAGGGGGGUAGAAUUCCAGGUGUGGCGGUGAAAUGCGUAGAGAUCUGGAGGAAUACCGGUGGCGAAGGCGGCCCCCUGGACAAAGACUGACGCUCAGGUGCGAAAGCGUGGGGAGCAAACAGGAUUAGAUACCCCUGUAGUCCCUGUCUCUUAUAC